AUGUAAGGAUUCAAAGGUCGAACAGACCUAAACUUUGAACUUCUACACCCAAAAAUAACCCUUAAUCCAACAUCGAGGUCGCAAUCUUUUUUGUCGAUAUGAACUCUCAAAAAAAAUUACGCUGUUAUCCCUAAGGUAACUUAGUCUUAUAAUCAAUAAUAUUGGAUCAAUAAUUCAAUAAUUUUUGUAAAAAUAAAAAAAAAAGAGUUUUAUAAAUCUUCCUGUCACCCCAACAAAAUAUUUAAUUUAAUAAAAUUUAAAAAUUUCUAUAAAUAAAUUAUUAUACAAAUAUAAAGUUCUAUAGGGUCUUCUCGUCCUUUAAUUACAUUUAAGCCUUUUAACUUAAAAGUUAAAUUAUAAUUUCAUUUAAAUUGAGACAGUUAACACCUCGUUCAAUCAUUCAUUCUAGCCCUCAAUUAAAAGACUAAUUAUUAUGCUACCUUUGCACGGUCAAAAUACCGCGGCCCUUUAAAUCAUCAGAGGGCAGAUUAGACUUUAAAUUAUUUUCUAAAAG
rnacentral:rRNA from 1 species